ACAACUUUCAACAACGGAUCUCUUGGUUCUGGCAUCGAUGAAGAACGCAGCGAAAUGCGAUAAGUAGUGUGAAUUGCAGAAUUCAGUGAAUCAUCGAAUCUUUGAACGCACAUUGCGCCCCUUGGUAUUCCAUGGGGCAUGCUUGUUCGAGCGUCAUU
rnacentral:rRNA from 5 species